UACGUAGGGUGCAAGCGUUAAUCGGAAUUACUGGGCGUAAAGCGUGCGCAGGCGGUGAUGUAAGACAGAUGUGAAAUCCCCGGGCUCAACCUGGGAACUGCAUUUGUGACUGCAUCGCUGGAGUACGGCAGAGGGGAUGGAAUUCCGCGUGUAGCAGUGAAAUGCGUAGAUAUGCGGAGGAACACCGAUGGCGAAGGCAAUCCCCUGGGCCUGUACUGACGCUCAUGCACGAAAGCGUGGGAGCAAACAGG
rnacentral:rRNA from 1 species